rnacentral:rRNA from 1 species
GACGAACGCUGGCGGCAUGCUUAACACAUGCAAGUCGAACGAAGUGGCGAACGGGUGAGUAACGCGUAAUCAACCUGCUCUUCAGAGGGGGACAACAGUUGGAAACGACUGCUAAUACGGCAUACGGAAGGAGGGGUUGGCGUCUGAGUGGCUAGUUGGAGGGGUAACGGCCCACCAAGGCGAUAAUCAGUAGGCGGUCUGAGGAGGAGGACGGGCCCAUUGGGGCUGGGAACCCGCCCCGAACUCCUCGGGGGGCAGGCGUGGGGAAUCUUCCGCAAUGGGCGACAGUCUGAAGGAGGCACGCCCGGUGGGUGAUGACGGCCUUCGGGGUGUAAAGGUCCGUUAAUCCGGAAGCGGUACCGGAAUAGAAAGCAACGGCUAACUACGUGCCAGCAGCCGCGGUAAUUC